CAACUCAGUCUCCGGGGCGACGCGGUACGCUUCGGAAAGGUUUAUUUGGCAAGGCUGUGUUUGCGUUCUGGAGGAGAGACUCGGCUGGUAAAAUGUGUAUUCAGCGUGACUCAAGGCAUGGUCGUGGGCCCCGGACCGUCCAGAGAAGGCCAGGAGUGUUGACAGGGGCGCGGUGCAGGAUGUCUCGUCGAGGUGUUAGCGGCUCGCAGCAACAGCAUCAACAACAACAACAACAACAACAACAACAACAACAACAACAACAACAACAACAACAACAACAACAACAACAACAGAAAGACGCAUCAACGAAAGUCACGUACGUGCUGUUGUUUUCAAGGGCCUCGCCUCGUGUGGAUCUGGAGCGUGAACCGUGUGGAAACGCCGCCGUGCGAGGAGAAGCCUGUCCGACCUGUUGCUGGCCAGGCAGUAAGCGAGGAAGCCCUUCACUGGGGGCUACAUUGAAGGUACGUUUAGGGACAUGGGAGAGCGUCCGCCCAUUACGUCCGCCAUUUCACACCCUUACUCCCCUACUUCCACCGAAAGGACCCCAUCACCAGAGGAGCCCCCUUGAUUUCCCUUGCAAGUUGACCAGGUUGCAUCCCGUCCGUCGUCCCUCACCAGUCAGCUCGGGCAGUUGACUUGUGAUGGUCGUCGUCGUGUAAGUGUUCCAGAAGUCGUGCCUCAUUGGUUUGCCGCGACAGUAACAACUUUUGGACGCGGGAAGAUAACAGCUCAUUCCCCCUGCCAUGCAAUUGAUACUGCUACUGUUGCUGCUUCAUUCAGAGGCUCUCCUACGUGACGACGACCCAAUGACUCGCCUUCGAACCAUCAGGGGCUUGCAGAUGCUUCGGAUUGACAAGUCUGUGGAUGUAUGAUAAAGUCCAAUGAAAUAUAUGGGGCUUCAGUUAUAUUUACACAAUAAUAAAAGUUCAAGCAUAA